GGAAUAUUGGACAAUGGGCGAAAGCCUGAUCCAGCCAUGCCGCGUGAGUGAUGAAGGCCCUAGGGUUGUAAAGCUCUUUCACCGGUGAAGAUGAUGACGGUACCCGCAGAAGCAGCCCCGGCUAACUCCGUGCCAGCAGCCGCGGUAAUACGGAGGGGGCUAGCGUUGUUCGGAAUUACUGGGCGUAAAGGGCGCGUAGGCGGUGCGGUAAGUUAGGCGUGAAAGGCCCGGGCUCAACCCGGGAACUGCGCUUAAGACUGCCGCGCUGUGAGUCCGGGAGAGGAUGGCGGAAUUCCCAGUGUAGAGGUGAAAUUCGUAGAUAUUGGGAAGAACACCAGUGGCGAAGGCGGCCAUCUGGCCCGGUACUGACGCUGAGGCGCGAAAGCGUGGGGAGCAAA
rnacentral:rRNA from 1 species